GAUGAACGCUGGCGGCGUGCCUAAUACAUGCAAGUCGAGCGAACGGACGAGAAGCUUGCUUUUCUGAUGUUAGCGGCGGACGGGUGAGUAACACGUGGAUAACCUACCUAUAAGACUGGGAUAACUUCGGGAAACCGGAGCUAAUACCGGAUAAUAUAUUGAACCGCAUGGUUCAAAAGUGAAAGACGGUCUUGCUGUCACUUAUAGAUGGAUCCGCGCUGCAUUAGCUAGUUGGUAAGGUAACGGCUUACCAAGGCAACGAUGCAUAGCCGACCUGAGAGGGUGAUCGGCCACACUGGAACUGAGACACGGUCCAGACUCCUACGGGAGGCAGCAGUAGGGAAUCUUCCGCAAUGGGCGAAAGCCUGACGGAGCAACGCCGCGUGAGUGAUGAAGGUCUUCGGAUCGUAAAACUCUGUUAUUAGGGAAGAACAUAUGUGUAAGUAACUGUGCACGUCUUGACGGUACCUAAUCAGAAAGCCACGGCUAACUACGUG
rnacentral:rRNA from 1 species